GACGAACCGUGCGAACGUUAUUCGGAAUCACUGGGCUUAAAGCGCGUGUAGGCGGGCCGCCGCGUCGAUGGCUGAAAGCCCCCGGCUCAACCGGGGAAGCGGCCUCGAAACGGGCGGCCUGGAGGGGAGUAGGGGGACCUGGAACUUCCGGUGGAGCGGUGAAAUGCGUUGAGAUCGGAAGGAACGCCCGUGGCGAAAGCGAGGUCCUGGGCUCUCACUGACGCUGAGACGCGAAAGCCAGGGGAGCGAACGGG
rnacentral:rRNA from 1 species